AAUGGAUCAAAAUAUUCGGAUAAUGACUGGAAUAAACCAGCUGUAAAAGUACUUUUCCCCAAAAAAACAGGAUUCAAAUUGGGACGCAUAUUAGAUAAUACUAAGAAUUGUUAAUUUUAUUUCAUGAGGUAACGAUUUUGUGGUUAUGUUAAAACAUCAUUAUUUUUAAGUGAUACAAAUAGUAUUGGGAAGGGAUAAGGCCAGGGAUCUACUUUAAAAUAUUUCAGUAACAAAAUUCAAUAGUCAUAGAUAUUGCCUGUAUGGCAAAAUGUUGGGAAGUGUUGAAUUUAGGGUAGGCGCAUUUGGUGUUUCAUGUUAUCAUUUUCUUUUUUUAUUUUUCUUUUUUGUUUUUGAGAUGGAGUCUCCUCUGUCACCCAGGCUGGAGAGCAGUGGCGUGAUCUCAGCUCACUGCAAGCUCCGCCUUUUUGUGUUAAUAUCGUAAGUUUCAUUAAAAAAUUUUUUUCCUGCCCAGAAGGAAAGUGGAAAAAAAUUACAAAAAUAAAAA
rnacentral:lncRNA from 1 species